ACAGCAAGAAAAAUGAGGGACUUUCAGGGGCAGCUGUGUUUUCUGACUCAGUCAUAAUGCCCCUAAAAAUCCUUAUUGCUCUUGCAGUGUGC
rnacentral:pre_miRNA from 12 species